rnacentral:rRNA from 1 species
GAGUUUGAUCCUGGCUCAGGAUGAACGCUGGCGGCGUGCCUAAUACAUGCAAGUCGAGCGAACGGACGAGAAGCUUGCUUCUCUGAUGUUAGCGGCGGACGGGUGAGUAACACGUGGGUAACCUACCUAUAAGACUGGGAUAACUCCGGGAAACCGGGGCUAAUACCGGAUAACACAUGAAACCGCAUGGUUUCAUGAUGAAAGACGGUCUUGCUGUCACUUAUAGAUGGAUCCGCGCUGCAUUAGCUAGUUGGUAAGGUAACGGCUUACCAAGGCAACGAUGCAUAGCCGACCUGAGAGGGUGAUCGGCCACACUGGAACUGAGACACGGUCCAGACUCCUACGGGAGGCAGCAGUAGGGAAUCUUCCGCAAUGGGCGAAAGCCUGACGGAGCAACGCCGCGUGAGUGAUGAAGGUCUUCGGAUCGUAAAACUCUGUUAUUAGGGAAGACAUAUGUGUAAGUAACUGUGCACAUCUUGACGGUACCUAAUCAGAAAGCCACGGCUAACUA